GCCGGAGUGGCGGAAUUUGGCAGACGCGCUGCGUUCAGGGCGCAGUAGCCAUACGGCUGUGUGGGUUCGACUCCCACCUCCGGCACAA
rnacentral:tRNA from 1 species